GCGAGAGUGGCGGAAUUGGCAGACGCGCUGGAUUUAGGAUCCAGUGGGUAGUACCGUGGGGGUUCGACUCCCCCCUCUCGCA
rnacentral:tRNA from 1 species